rnacentral:lncRNA from 1 species
GUUCAAAGUGAUACUUACUCCAGACAUGGUAAGAGCUGAAUUUCCACAAAUUGGACAGGUGCUCUCAGAAGAAGGCAAAGAGAAAUCAGCAAAAGAAGAAAGUGAUACAGUGCUGGAUGGUGCUUUUUCUGGAGACCCACACAACUAUCCAGAUGGACUUUUUCAACCCCAGAACGAGAGGCUAAGGGAGAAGAUUCAAAAACAUGUGGAGAA